GACCGGAGCACAGGCGUCACAGGGACUCAGGGGACAUCAUAGGUGUUACAGGGGUCUGGACAGGGAGCCCAGGCAAAGCCACAAAGGGUCCCAGGGCUGUCACUGGUAACAUAAACAGAUCACGGAGACUGUAAACGCACCAUGGGGCAAACCGGAGAUUCUCCUAGACAUUUUUCUCCCACACAAUAAUUUCCAGAGCUGCGGAUGGGCAACGUCAAGCGCACCCAGGAUUGGGAAUCUCUGCUGUCCGACAAGAGCCAUAGAAGGGAGCCCCUGAACAGAAAAGAAGCUUGCGUCUAAGAGACCCAGGGUGGGCACGGGAAUCUUGAGUCCUCUCCGCAAGGAAGCAGGAGACUCACUUGUGGAGGGACCCCUUGAAGAAGAACGUUCUGCCUCCCACGUCUGGGAUCAGGUGGACACUCACUUGUGCCAGCACUCGGACGAACCAGUUGAGAAACGUCGGCCUGCAGGCAAAAGAUGCACACUGGAAACUUUCAAAUUCUGGAAGUAGAGAAUUAUCCUAUCACCUGCAGGAGCUUUAAAUUUUCUAGCCAAUCAGAGAAAGCGGGCGUGACAAGGGGCGUGUCUUUCUGUGCUUUUCAACCCUCAGAGCUUGGGCUGUACCAAUAGCACGCCAGAGGAAGGAGGCUUAUGGUGGUGGCGGAGCAUACCAAGCCGCGCGGACGAGUGGAUGUGAUGGGAGGGGACGGAGACUUCAGCUGGGCCACGCGUGGAUUAGUGUCACCAAUCGCGUCUCUGAAGAUUUAUAUUCAAGACCUUGCCUCCAAUACAGACUCCCUCCUCUCUAGCCCUCACACAGCGGCUGAACUUGGCUUUGGGGAAGAGCUGCCUCGGAUCCCUCCCAUCUCUGUUUACACUCACGGGACCUUUGUCCAUUUCUGGGCAGACCGCCCCCUCCAGCCCUCACCCCCUGACUGAGACCUGCUGCUCCCGCUGCCCCCACCCCCAGCUCCUUCCACGCUUAUCGGUCUUUGUGUCAUUUUACUCAUGUCUUUCCCAUCCGUCUGAGACACAUCAGUGAAGAACUGAGACCUGUGACCAAGUGCUCAGAGGGUACAAGGGAAGUGAGCGAGCCUCUGUCUUCAGGGAAUGCGUAUCCCUCUCAUUGUACUGAAUGCAUAGGAAAUUUGUUUUUCAUUUUCUUUUCCCUCAUUAAAUCUUGGAAUGACAGAGCUAGAAGGCAUCUUACAGACCAGACAUCCUGGAAUGUGAAGUCAAGUGGGCCUUAGGAAGCAUCACUACGAACAAAGCUAGUGGAGGUGAUGGAAUUCCAGUUGAGCUAUUUCAAAUCCUGAAAGAUGAUGCUGUGAAAGUGCUGCACUCAAUAUGCCAGCAAAUUUGGAAGACUCAGCAGUGGCCACAGGACUGGAAAAGGUCAGUUUUCAUUCCAAUCCCAAAGAAAGGCAAUGCCAAAGAAUGCUCAAACUACCACACAAUUGCACUCAUCUCACACGCUAGUAAAGUGAUGCUUAAAAUUCUUCAAGUCAGACUUCAGCAAUACAUGAACCGUGAACUUCCAGAUGUUCAAGCUGGUUUAAGAAAAGGCAGAGGAAACAGAGAUCAAAUUGCCAACAUCUGUUGGAUCAUUGAAAAAACAAGAGAGUUCUAGAAAAACAUCUAUUUCUGCUUUAUUGACUAUGCCAAAGCCUUUGACUGUAUGGAUCACAAUAAAAUGUGGAAAAUUCUGAAAGAGAUGGGAAUACCAGACCACCUGACCAGCCUCUUGAGAAACCUGUAUGCAGGUCAGGAAGCAAGAACUGGACAUGGACCAACAGACUGGUUCCAAAUAGGAAAAGGAAUACAUCAAGGCUGUAUAUUGUCACCCUGCUUAUUUACCUUAUAUGCAGAGUACAUCAUAAGAAACGCUGGGCUGGAGGAAGCACAAGCUGGAAUCAAGAUUGGCGGGAGAAAUAUCAAUAACCUCAGAUAUGCAGAUGACACCACCUUAUGGCAGAAAGUGAAGAAGAACUAAAGAGCCUCUUGAUGAAAGUGAAAGAGGAGAGUGAAAAAGUUGGUUUAAAGCUCAACAUUCAGAAAACUAAGAUCAUGGCAUCUGGUCCCAUCACUUCAUGGCAAAUAGAUGGGGAGACAGUGGAAACAGUGUCAGACUUUAUUUUUCUGGGCUCCAAAAUCACUGUAGAUGGUGAUUGCAGCCAUGAAAUUAAAAGACGCUUACUCCUUGGAAGGAAAGUUAUGACCAACCUAGAUAGCAUAUUAAAAUGCAGAGACAUUACUCUGUCAACAAAGGUCCGUCUAGUCAAGGCUAUGGGUUUUUCCAGUAGUCAUGCAUGGAUGUGAGAGUUGGACUAUGAAGAAAGCUGAGCGCUGAAGAAUUGAUGCUUUUGUUUUUUUUUUUUUUAAACUUUAAUCAAAGUGGGACAUUUUAGUAUAUCUCUCAAUAUUUGAUAGAUCAAGCAGAUUAAAAAAAGAAAUCAACAUAAACAUAGAGGAUUUGAACAACACAGACAGUAAAACUGUUCCAGUGAGCAUAUACAGCACUUCACCCAAUAGACAGAAAAUAUAUAUUUGUAUUAAAUUCUCAUGGAACAUUUAUAAAAAUUGAUUAUAAUAAUUAAGCAAGUCUUUAUGAAUUUUAACAGUUGAAUAUUAUUCAGAUCAUAUUUAAUGACUGCAAUACUAACAAGUUAGAAAUUAAACACCAAAAAGGUAACUUAAGAAAACUCAUUUGUAUACUGUAACACUUAUUUCAAAAUAAUCCAAAUGUCAGAAAUAAUAGGUAUUGCAAAAUGUGUGCUAAAGCCAAAAGCAGUAACUGCAUUGUGUGUGUACUAAGUCGCUUCAGUUGUGUCUGACUCUGUGCGACCCUGUGGACUGUAGCCUGCCAGACUCCUCUGUCCAUGGGAUUCUCCAGGCAAGAAUACUGAAGUGUGUUGCCAUGCCCUCCUCCAGGGGAUCUUCCCGACCCAGGGAUCAAACCUGAGUCUCACAUCACCUGCAUUGGCAGCGCCACCAAUUGAGCAGUAGCCAAAUUGUUAUUAAAGAUUUGUGUACAUGAACAUAUGUACAGAUGUUAUGUCUGAGAUCUAGUCAGGAAAGAUUCCCAAGGAUACAUAGGAAAGGAUUGUUAUUCAGGAUGAGAGAAAAUAAUUGAAUUGUUUACCAAAUUAGUGGACUGGCAACUUCACAGGAAAUGUAUGUUGUGUGGCCUUAGCCUAUUUGGCCAGCUUUUGUAUUCAAAUCUUAAAGACAGAGUUUAUGCUCAGAAUAAUACUUAUUUAAAAUGCUGUUAGUGCUACUUAGUACUUCAUGGCUUCUUAUUUGGGAAUUAUUGGAAAAUGUAGAUCAGGUAUAGACUGUGACAGGCUGUGGUUGUUGUAAACUGCUAGCAAUAUACAGAUUAUAGGAUUGCUUCCAGGAUUGUUUUCCAUUUAGAACUGAACAACAAAGCAAUAAUGCAUAUUAAAACAUGUGGUGGUUAGUGGUACUCAGAGGGAAAUUUAUAGUCUAGAAUGUAUGUGGUACUUAAAGGGAGAUUUAUGGCUUAUUAUGCUCAUAUUAGAAAAGAACACUGAAAAUAACUAAGCUUAGCAUCCAAGUCAUGAAGUUAAAAAGAGUAGAAUAAACUUCCAAAAACAUAGAAGAAAGAAAAUGGUGAACAAGAGACAAAAACUAAUCAUCUGGGUGGGGGGAAGUUACAGUAAAGGUAUUAACAAAACUGAAAGGUUUUUUUUUAAGCAUUAAGAAACUGACAAAUCUCUGGCAGAAUUACUUAAGGGGGAAAAAGGCAGAAACCAUAAAGAAAUAAUAUCAAGAAUGGGACAGCGGACAAAACUACUGAUGCAGACAUGUUUAAGAAUAUUACAAAGUGUUAGUCACUCAGUCAUGUCUGACUCUUUGUGAUCCCGUGGACUGAAGCCAGCCAGACUCCUCCAUCCAUGGGAUUUUCCAGGCAAGAAUACUGGAGUGGGUUCCCAUUUCCUUCUCCAAUUGAUGCAGACACAUUUAAGAAUAUUACAAAGGAACAUUGCUGCUGCUGCUGCUAAGUCACUUCAGUCGUGUCCGACUCUGUGUGACCCCAUAGACGGCAGCCCACCAGGCUCCCCCGUCCCUGGGAUUCUCCAGGCAAGAAUACUGGAGUGGGUUGAAUUGAUGCUUUUGAACUGUGGUGUUGGAGAAGACUCUUGAGAGUCCCUUGGACUGCAAGGAGAUCCAACCAGUCCAACCUAAAGGAGAUCAGUCCUGUGUGUUCAUUGGAAGGACUGAUGUUGAAGUUGAAACUCCAAUACUUUGGCCACCUGAUGCAAAGAGCUGACUCAUUGGAAGAGACCCUGAUGCUGGGAAAGAUUGAGGGCAGGAGGAGAAGGGGACGACAGAAGAUGAGAUGGUUAGAUGGCAUCAUUGACUUGAUGGACAUGAGUUUGGGUGGACUCUGGGAGUUGGUGAUGGAUAGGGAGGCCUGGCGUGCUGCGGUUCACGGGGUCGCAAAGAGUCAGACAUGACUGAGCGACUGAAUUGAACUGAGACAAUAACUCCCAUUCCUCUGUUCUCAGCCCCUGGUACCUCAAAUAUUUUAUUCUGAAAAUACAUUACAACAUGUACAGAAAGAUUGAAAGACUUUUACAGUGAACACCAUAUACCUACCAUCAAGAUUCUACAAUUAAUAUUUUGCUGUAUUUGUUUUGUGUAUUAGUCGCUCAGUCGUGCCUGACUCUUUGCGGACUAUAUAUAGCCUGCCAGGCUCCUCUGUCCAUGGAAUUCUCCAGGUAAGAAUACUGGAAUGGGUUGCCAUUCCCUUUUCCAGGCGAUCUUUGCAACCCAGGGAUAGAACCAAGGUCUCUCAGCAGAUUCCUUACUGGCUGAGCCAUCAGGGAAGUAUUUAAUACAUCUAUCCAUCCCUGCAUUCAUCAAACCAUCUUUUGUGAUGCAGUUCAAAGUUGCAGACAACAGUAUAUUUCACAUCUAAACACUUCAAUAUGCAUAGAAUUAGCUAGAGUUUAUGCUUACCUUUUUAAUGUAAACUUUACAUAUAGUGAAGUGCACAGAAUAUACAAUAUGUAUUCUUGUGUGUACUGGCUUCUUUCACUCACCAUGAUUUUGAGAUUCAUCCAUGUUGCUGAGUGUAUCAGUAGUUGGAUCCUUUUUAAUGCUGAGUUGUGUUGCAUUGUAUGGAUAUACUACAGUUUACCCAUUUUCUUGUUGAUGAAUAUCUGGAUUUUGUGGUAUUUAUGCUUUAUUUUCUCUUGGAAAAAUACCUAGGUGAAAAAUUGCUGAGUCUUGGAGUUUACAUUUAGUCUUAUAUGAAACUGCAAGAGCUUUUCCCAAAGUGGUUGUCUGCCCAUCUGGUUAACAGUGAG